UACGUAGGGGGCAAGCGUUGUCCGGAAUCAUUGGGCGUAAAGCGCGUGUAGGCGGUUCGGUAAGUCGGCUGUGAAAGUCCAGGGCUCAACCCUGGGAUGCCGGUCGAUACUGCCGGACUAGAGUUCGGAAGAGGCGAGUGGAAUUCCCGGUGUAGCGGUGAAAUGCGCAGAUAUCGGGAGGAACACCAAUGGCGAAGGCAGCUCGCUGGACGUUACUGACGCUGAGGAGCGAAAGCAUGGGGAGCGAACAGGA
rnacentral:rRNA from 1 species